AACGAACGCUGGCGGCAGGCCUAACACAUGCAAGUCGAACGCCCUAGCAAUAGGGAGUGGCAGACGGGUGAGUAACGCGUGGGAACGUGCCUUUCGGUUCGGAAUAACUCAGGGAAACUUGAGCUAAUACCGGAUACGCCCUUCGGGGGAAAGAUUUAUUGCCGAAAGAUCGGCCCGCGUCCGAUUAGCUAGUUGGUGAGGUAAAGGCUCACCAAGGCGACGAUCGGUAGCUGGUCUGAGAGGAUGAUCAGCCACACUGGGACUGAGACACGGCCCAGACUCCUACGGGAGGCAGCAGUGGGGAAUAUUGGACAAUGGGCGCAAGCCUGAUCCAGCCAUGCCGCGUGAGUGAUGAAGGCCCUAGGGUUGUAAAGCUCUUUCGCCAGGGACGAUAAUGACGGUACCUGGAUAAGGAGCCCCGGCUAACUUCGUGCCAGCCGCCGCCGUAACAC
rnacentral:rRNA from 1 species